AUGAUACGUCACUUUGUCACUGUGAACAGUGCUGAUAUGCGUUUCGGCAGUGGAACAAAACUUACAGUAAUGGGGAAGAAUGAUGAAAUCAUACCUCCAGCUGUGGCCAUCUUUUCCCCAUCAAAGCAGGAGAUCCAGCAGAAGAGCAAGGCCACGCUGGUGUGCCUGGCCUCUGGUUUCUACCCUGACCACCUGACUGUGGUCUGGAGGGUGAAUGGCGUGAAAAGGACCGAAGGGGUGGGGACAGACGAGUCCUCCACACAGAAUGGGAGCACCUACUCACUGACCAGCCGCCUGAGGAUGCCAGCCUGGGAAUGGUUCAACCCUUUGAAUCGCUUUGAGUGUGUUGCCAAUUUUUUUCAGAACGGAACAACGCAAUCAAUAAGCAAAUUUAUCCAUGGUGAUGCUGGUUGUGCGCUCACAGAAGAGUCGUAUUUGCGGUAUGGAAAUUCUCUGAAGCUCACUUACCUCAUCCUGUGUGGCAAAGCCUUGGUCUACGCAGUUUUGGUGAGUGGUCUGGUGUGGACAGCCAAGACUGGUGUCAAGUUAUCUAGAGAAUAAAUGAAGAGCCCUUGGCAUCACAUCAGCAGGAGCACAACUAAUCCUCUGGCUUUCCACAGCAAAGUAUCGGUGCUUUUAAGAACUCCUGAAUACAAUUUUUUAAAUAAUUGUCUCUUGCCAUCCUGUUCUUCACUCUGUUGUAAUCACUGCUGAGCUUUUCCUGUACUUCUGUAUCAAAAUGUAUCAUACUGUCUUGUAAUAUAUGUUUAAAACUAGCACUUUCUUAAUGCUCAGAAGCUGAGAGCUCAUC